CUUUACUUUAGGUACCACCCCCCAACCAGGAUACCUCCUUUGAAUCCAAAGGUCUAGAGUUUGUGCCAAGGCUAUCUGGACAGUUCCCUGUCUGUAUCCAGGUGGUUUCCCCAUUAACGCCACCUCUGUAUCCACCUCCUAGAGGAACCAUUAUUGGGAGAGAGGCCAGCAGAGUCCCUCAAGCCAGCAGCCAUAAGUCCCCAAGUCUGGCUGGGAGCCAGGGUUCUGCAGAGACACCUAGGAUGACUUGCAGAUGUCAGAAAGGAUAAAGGCAGGCAGCUGAGACAAGAGAGGAGUAGAUGGUGCUGCUGGCUAGCCUCAUCCAGACCCUGGCUACUCUCUCCAUCCACCACCACACCUUGAACAGAGCCUGCCUGGCCAGCAGCAGCAGACAUUCAGGGUCUCCGUCUCCCAUCAGCCCUUUCCACGGCAGCAAGAACUUCACUUUGGGAGGUAAAAGAAAAUGGAUGAACAUCUGCAGCUUCUGAAACUGCAGGGGAAAUGAAUGAACAUCUGCAGUCUCUACACUUAACAUUUAAAGAAUUCUCAGGAAAAGUGACACAGGGACAAUGGAACAACUGCCCUCUGUUUUAGAGAACUGAGCUCAUAAAAAGUCAACAUAC